GACAGUUCUUGGGUGACGCACCCCGGAAUCGGGCUCCCUCCUUUCUGGUUCUGGGUGCAUCGCCUGAGAACCACC
rfam:Myotis brandtii contig318488, whole genome shotgun sequence.